GCUCCCACCCCUCCCUGCAGAAUGGUGGCUUGGAAUGAGUAGUACAGACCCACCACCGGCCCAGCACAUGCCCUGGCCACGAGGUCGAGAGAUCCGAGCUUCUUUCCUCUCCCCUGACUGAGCUCCAAGCUGGCAGGGCCUUAUCUUCGAGUCCCCAGCCCCCACUCAGAGCAGGCGCACUUGGGAAGACUUGUUGGGAAGUGAUUCCGAGUUUCCUCUGCCAAUGGUGCACUGUGAGCAGUAAGAAGACCCUUCCUGAUGCCCACAUGCCUCUGCUACAGCCUAAAGCCCAGGAUUGCCAUGGUCUCAUCUUUGCCUGGCCACAUUCCCUACUUCAAGGGCAAAGCAGAGGAAUGGCUCUUCUGCACGGUCACUGGCCCUGGGCCAGGCACACAGCAAGUGUCCAGCAGAUCCAGGGAAGAAGGACCGGCUGAGCACCAGGAACAAGAAAGAGGCAGGCAGGGGCAACUGGCCAGCUUUGUGCUGAG